GCAAUUAAUGUUCUGAUUCUUUCAAGAUGUUGCCUAUAGGCACAUUUAACCCAUGUCCCACAAUCAGUGUUUACAGGUAGGCCUAACUGGAAUCUGAGCCUGUGCAUUGAAUAACCCGAAAAGCAAACACAUGCAUUACUGUCAACAUGCAGUAGCACUGAGCACUACAAAGAAGUUGCUUAUUUGGAUACAAAGACCAAUCCUAAGCCAGCUUUUGUUUCAGUUGGAAAUUGCCCGCUCAAAUUAACGCUUUCACAAACAAUGCAUCAUUUGGGUCAUCAUUUCGCUGUGUGAUACGAUCAGGGAAGCAAGUCUGAAGUUCUUCUACUGAAAGCCUGUAUCUUUUGCCUGUUUUCUAGAAUCAGUCGAACCAUAUCGAAAAAUUCAAAUUAUCUACAGAGAUGGGUCGUCUACAGAAUAAAGAAAUAUCGUAUAUGCCGAUCAUUGAAAAUGGGUUCGCAAAAACGUCUAACUCAUCGAUUAAAUUUGGGAAUGGCAAGAAGAAGCAUACCAAUCAUCUAUAGACGAUAGAGGUCUGGGAGGAAGAGAAGUUAAGCAUUCUAGAAGCAAUGACAUAAGCAGUGGACCCAUCCUUGGCAACAACAUGACUUCUUCAGCAUGUUCAUGGAAAUUUAAUGAUCUCUUUGUGUCACCAGAACUGAGUCACAGAAUCCCUUACACCUCCAGACGGACACGGAACACAAUCCUCACAAUCACCAAAUCGCUCGACCUUCUGUCAGAGGCCACGAUGUCGAUCUGUUCGUUUUAUAUCGUCUAUUUUCAAUAUCCCACUUGCCUAAGUAAGACUCUCAUAUUUAUGCAAAGAUCUUAUUAGAUAUUCAGGAUGGAGACAACAGUCCACGGCCCAUAUUUACAUUAACAAUAAAUCAAACAUGCAGUGAGUUAAGAUAAUUAACCUUCUAUAUCUAUUUGUGUUAAUUCUUUAUUGCUGAAAUCUAGUAUAAUCAAACACUCUAGUGUCCUAAUAAUUUUGGUUAAGGUUUAUUCCAUACAAUAAUAAUAAUUUAAGAUAAAUCUGAUAUUCCAAACAAUAUCAGAUUUAUUUUAAAUCUGUAUUAUAAAAUGUUGGUUUUCACAAAUUCAAAUCUAAAUAGUGUUUUCUUAAUCAGACGCCAAGUUUAUUGUGGGAUGCUCUGGGUAUAUGACUAAGUUUGAAAAGGUUUCCUUUUGCGUAAUAAACAAAUGCAAAUGUUUGUGUUAUGACAUUACAGAGCAAAACAUUAGUUCUUUUUUAUUUAUUUGGACAGCAACAGUUUGUACAUACCAAAUUCUGUAAUUUGUAUUAUCUACAUUUUAUCACCCUUUUCACAAAGGAAUUCAUCUGACUAUUAAUUUGUAUUAUGUAUUUUUUCAUAAUUCUG